UGGGGACGAUGAUACAUUGUAGUGGU
rnacentral:piRNA from 1 species